rnacentral:rRNA from 1 species
ACUCUACGGGAGGCAGCAGUGGGGAAUAUUGCACAAUGGGCGCAAGCCUGAUGCAGCCAUGCCGCGUGUAUGAAGAAGGCCUUCGUGUUGUAAAGUACUUUCAGCGGGGAGGAAGGCGAUGUGGUUAAUAACCGCGUCGAUUGACGUUACCCGCAGAAGAAGCACCGCUAACUCAGUCCCAGCAGCCGCGGUAAUACGGA